GAUGAAGAACGUAGCGAAAUGCGAUACGUAAUGUGAAUUGCAGAAUUCAGUGAAUCAUCGAAUCUUUGAACGCUCAUUGCGCCCGCCAGCACUCUGGCGGGCAUGCCUGUUCGAGCGUCAUUUCAACCAUCAAGCCCCAGGCUUGCGUUGGAGCCCUGCGGCUGCCGCAGCCUCCUAAAAGCAGUGGCGGGCUCGCUAUCACACCGAGUGCAGUAGAUUACUCUUCGCUCAGGGCGUGCAGCGGGUUCCGGCCGUGAAACCCCCUACUUUUAAAGGUUGACCUCGGAUCAGGUAGGAAUACCCGCUGAACUUAAGCAUAUCAAUAAGCGGAGGA
rnacentral:misc_RNA from 1 species